rnacentral:lncRNA from 1 species
CAAACAUGGCAUACAACCCAAAAUAUAAUAACAUCAAACAAUUAACUGUCAAAUACACAUUCAAAUAAUCGUUCGGGAUGGACUAGGUCAUAAUCCCCAGCAGUAAUCUACCCCAUGCUCGUCAUCUAACGUAUAAGUCACCUCAAAGUAACACAACGAUGUGUAAUUCGGGAAUUCAAUCCCAUAGGGCAGUAUUUACAAUCAUUACUUACCUCGAACCGGCAAAAUCCCUAGCUCGUGAUGCCUUGCCCCUCAAAUGGCCUCCACGUGCGUC